rnacentral:rRNA from 1 species
GACAGAGGAUGCAAGCGUUAUCCGGAAUGAUUGGGCGUAAAGCGUCUGUAGGUGGCUUUUUAAGUCCGCCGUCAAAUCCCAGGGCUCAACCCUGGACAGGCGGUGGAAACUACCAAGCUGGAGUACGGUAGGGGCAGAGGGAAUUUCCGGUGGAGCGGGUGAAAUGCGCAGAGAUCGGAAAGAACACCAACGGCGAAGGCAACUCUGCUGGGCCGACACUGACACUGGAGAGACGAAAGCUAGGGGAGCAAAUGGG